rnacentral:rRNA from 1 species
GAUGAACGCUGGCGGCGUGCCUAAUACAUGCAAGUCGAGCGAACGGACGAGAAGCUUGCUUCUCUGAUGUUAGCGGCGGACGGGUGAGUAACACGUGGAUAACCUACCUAUAAGACUGGGAUAACUUCGGGAAACCGUAGCUAAUACCGGAUAAUAUUUUGAACCGCAUGGUUCAAAAGUGAAAGACGGUCUUGCUGUCACUUAUAGAUGGAUCCGCGCUGCAUUAGCUAGUUGGCAAGGUAACGGCUUACCAAGGCAACGAUGCAUAGCCGACCUGAGAGUGUGAUCGGCCACACUGGAACUUAGACACGGUCCUAACUCCUACGGGAGGCAGCAGUAGGGAAUCUUCCGCAAUGGGCGAAAGCCUGACGGAGCAACGCCGCGUGAGUGAUGAAGGUCUUCGGAUCGUAAAACUCUGUUAUUAGGGAAGAACAUAUGUGUAAGUAACUGUGCACAUCUUGACGGUACCUAAUCAGAAAGCCACGGCUAACUACGUG